AUGUGAGAAGAUGACAUUGCUGAAAAGUCAAGUGCGCCUCAUCCAGAGUAUUUGACUAGGCUAUCGCCUGUGAACUGCAGUUGUCGCCGGUUGCUGUGGAUACUCAAGGAACAUGAUAAAUGUUUGUUGAGCCAUCAGUUUCAGGCCGAGUCGAGGUUGGACGAAACGCUCGUACUUGAUUGCGCUGCAUUCUGGGCCCUAAUCUUUCAGACCGUUCAACUGUACGAGAGAAGAUAUACGAGAAAGCAACACCACCAGGUGUGACAUUCUUCUGUGUACCGUGUACCGUGGGGAAAAUAACACGAGCGAAAACUGCUGGUGGCGCGUAAUGCAGAGAGGAAUUUUGUUGAACAUGCGCGCUGCGUAUAGUAAUUCAAAGGACACUGGUUCAAAAGGUACGAAUAAGACAAUAUAGUCUAUUCAAAGCGGGACGAGUAAAUUUAGACACGAUUAUACCGAAGCAUUUCUGUUAUUAGAAAACACGCUCAACUGUGGUUUAAUAAGUUGCUGAUGUCUAUUACAAUUAAACUUGCUGUUGUGUUUUGCGACUGUUGACUCGGGAAUAAUUAAUUAUCCAAUUGUCCCCAUUUGAAUAAGAGGUUGACACGGCCGUGUAUAGUAAAGAUCACAUAUUCCUCGAUCUCGUUCGCUUUUUCAUGUGUCACAGAGUGCAGAGUGCUAAGGUAUAACUUUAAUUUGAGCUAAAUCUAAAUGAAAAGGCUAAAAAAAAGCCCUUCGGGUACCUUCUACCUUGCUAACGCAGGAAUCCGUUCCCUCCAGUCGUCCGUGGAUGCUAAGGGCUAUCACUAGAUGGCUCAAAGUCCACCUUAUUUUAUACCAUUUUAUACAUUAAACUAGUUUUUAUUAUUUUUUAAAAAUGUACAAAAAAUUCAAUAAACAGAGCGUCCGGUUCAAGACGGUUUUUCUU